rnacentral:rRNA from 1 species
UACGUAGGGUGCAAGCGUUGUCCGGAAUUAUUGGGCGUAAAGAGCUCGUAGGCGGUUUGUCGCGUCUGCUGUGAAAACGCGAGGCUCAACCUCGCGCCUGCAGUGGGUACGGGCAGACUAGAGUGCGGUAGGGGAGAUUGGAAUUCCUGGUGUAGCGGUGAAAUGCGCAGAUAUCAGGAGGAACACCGAUGGCGAAGGCAGGUCACUGGGCCGCAACUGACGCUGAGGAGCGAAAGCAUGGGGAGCGAACAGG